ensembl:lncRNA
CCCAAGUAUUUGUAUGUAUUCAUUCCUCUAGUUGACAGGUAUUUAUUGAGCACCUACUAGAUGCCAAGUACAGUGUUGUGCUCUGAGAUACAAGCGUGAAUAGGUGGCCAGCUCCCCAUCCCAGCCUGACGCAGGAACUUUCAGAAGGCUGCGGGAGCUCUCAGCACUGCACCCCUUCCAGCCUGUACUGUCAGCCAUCCUGGAGAAGGGACACCUAAGCUGAAACCUCAAGGGUGGGUCCAACCUGUUUCUACCAGCUUUGAAUAACAGCAACAAUGACGAUGAUGGUGGUCCCUGAAUUUACCACGUGCCAGCUACUGCUUCCAGCCCCUCUCUAGUGGGUCCCUGCCCAUUCCUGGGCAUCAGGAACUGGAGGACAAGCCAGAAUUCUCAGCAGCUUCUCAAGUUGUGCAUCAUCUGUCCCUGCUCUUACUUCUCCCUGACCUCACCUUCCAGCAAUUUCUGCUGACUCACAGUGUGGUUUAUUUCAACCACACUGGCAUUCUGACGGAUCUUUCCAGGGCACCAGGCAUACUUCUGCUGCGGGGACUUUGCCUGGGCUGUUCUGGUCACUUGAAAUACACUUUUCCUCACCUUCCUCAGGCCACUGUCCAAACAUCUUCUUGGCAUUCUACUUGCCGUCAUCAUCCUUCUCCCUGCCGAGUCCCAUCUAAAAUCACUGCUUUAUUUUUCUCCUUCCCACUGAGCACCAUCUCCCAUUUCCCAUAUUUUAUAUCUUCAUCUUGUCUGUUUGUCUGUCUCUUCUUUGUCUGUCUCUCCCUAUGAUAUGGUUUGGCUGUGUUCCCACCCAAAUCUCAUCUUAAACUGUAGCUCCCACAAUUCCUAUGUGUUGAGGGAGGGACCUGGUCAGAGGUAAUUGAAUCAUGGGGGCGAGUCUUUCCCAUGCUGUUCUUGUGGUAGUGAUUAAGUCUCGUGAGAUCUGAUGGUGUUACAAAGGGGAGUUCGCCUGCACAGGCUCUCUUGCCCUCCACCAUGUAAGAAGUCCGUUUGCUUUUCCUUCAUCUUCGCUAUGAGUGUGCACCCUCCCCAGUCAUGUGGAACUGAUAAAUUACGUACGAGUCAGCAAUCAAAAGGAGCAGACCAUCUACCGACGGACAACACGGAUGAAUCUCAGAAGCAUUCUGCUGCAAGAAGGAAACCCGCCCCCACAGGCUGCAAGCGAUGUGUCUUUUAUAUGACAUCCUGUUGAAUAGAAAAGGCAGGACUGCAGGGGAGAGAUCAGACCCAUGAUGGACAAUGGGCAGGGUGGGAGGAGGGCCUCACUAUCCAGGGGCCACUUGAAGGUAUUUUUGGAGGUGAUGGAAUUGUUCUGUGUCUUGAUUCUGGUGAUGGUUGCGUGACUCUGUGUAUUUAUCAAAGCUCACAGAACUGUGUUCCAAAGCAUGAAUGUUACUGUGUGUGAAUUAAACAUAAAUUAAAAAACAAACAGCAGCUGGGCACGGUGGCUCACGCCUGUCAUCCCAGCUACUCAGGAGGCUGAGGCAGGAGAAUUGCCUGAACCCAGGAGGCGGAGGUUGCGGUGAGCCGAGAUCACACCAUUGCACUCCAGCCUGGGUAACAAGAGUGAAACUCCGUCUCAAAAAAAAAGAAGUGGUCUCAUGGUGCCUGCAAUUGAAGGUGGAACCCACAGGUUUUUCAGGGUGGUUGAAGGUGAGUCAUGGGUGAAUGAGAGUUCGAGAGGCUAACUUCAGUAUUUGGGGCUCAACUUCUGGAGGAAUGGGCGCUGUAUGUACAAAGAUGGGGAAAGUGGCUGGAGAAACAGAUUCGAGGAGAAAACCACGAGUUAUUUUAUCAUCAUCAAUUUAGCGAUGAAGUCACUCAGGUCCAAAGAGAUUGACUGACUCCCUUGCGCAAACUCACCCAGCCAGUGUGGGAUGGAGAUGAAGUUGGAAACAGAUUUGUCUGACCCCUGAGCUCUGUCCCCUCUGCAGGCUCCUACUCUAGACUGAGAAAUGACUGGGUUCAGUGAUACUCAAAAUGGGGUCCCCUGAGCUUUAGAAAUGCAGAUUCUUUGGUUCCAGCCAACGGGGCAUUUGCCACGUGCCUGUGUUAUUCACAGGGGCUUCGUGUCAUCAAACGUGCUUUUGGCUGCAAGUAAUCUACGUCUAAAAGAGGUUCAUCUGCAAGUUUCCCAGAAAGUGUAUCAUAUCAGAAGAAGUCCUUAAUUUGGGCUGGGCAUGGUGGCUCACACCUGUAAUCCCAGCGCUUCGGGAGGCUGAGGCAGGAGCUUGCUUGGUGUGUUUAAGGAACAGCAAGGAGACCACGGCGGCUG